AUUGAACGCUGGCGGCAUGCCUUACACAUGCAAGUCGAACGGCAGCACGGGAGCAAUCCUGGUGGCGAGUGGCGAACGGGUGAGUAAUAUAUCGGAACGUGCCCAGUCGUGGGGGAUAACGCAGCGAAAGCUGUGCUAAUACCGCAUACGAUCUAAGGAUGAAAGCGGGGGAUCGCAAGACCUCGCGCGAUUGGAGCGGCCGAUAUCAGAUUAGCUAGUUGGUGGGGUAAAGGCCCACCAAGGCGACGAUCUGUAGCUGGUCUGAGAGGACGACCAGCCACACUGGAACUGGGACACGGUCCAGACUCCUACGGGGGGCAGCAGUGGGGAAUUUUGGACAAUGGGCACAAGCCUGAUCCAGCAAUGCCGCGUGCAGGAUGAAGGCCUUCGGGUUGUAAACUGCUUUUGUACGGAACGAAACGGCCCUUUCUAAUACAGGGGGCUAAUGACGGUACCGUAAGAAUAAGCACCGGCUAACUACGUGCCAGCCGCCGCCGUAA
rnacentral:rRNA from 1 species